UCAGUAGGAAUUCCGGACUAUACCAGGAACCUCUGUAAUUAACUAGCGGAGGAACAAUUGUUUUGUCAUUGGGUCAUGUAAGAUUCUUUUCUUUCUAGCCCGGAGUGGUGACCCAUGCCUGUAAUACCAGCAACCGGAAGGCUGAGACAGGAGGAUCACCGCGAGUCCGAGGCUGGGCUACAAAGUGAGUUCAAAGCCAGCCUGGAAGAUUCUUUUCCUUGUAGACUUGAACAGCUUCACAGUUCCAGUAGACAGAAGUUACAGAAUAAAAGGCCUCAAAUCAUCAAACCACCAGUGUGCAAAUUGGAGGUGACUACCAAUGUUGCUUACAUCAGUUCAAGACUCCUUUGACCAUUAAAGGCUUAUCUUCAAUAUAAAAACACAUUGAGAGAAGAGGAGAACAAACUCAGGUAAGAUAGAAAUGGA
rnacentral:lncRNA from 1 species